CUCUGGCCCUCCCUUUCUUAUCCCGUGUCCUCUCUCCCCUCCAGGUCAAUGGACUUCUGAGGAAGAAGACCUCUCUCCCCACUUUAAAAGGGACUGGCGUUGCUGAGCUCGUUGUGUGUGGAGUGGAGGAAACCUUGAAGGACGGUGUAUUAUUUGACACGAGGAUCCAGAUGCCUCAAAUUCACGGAAAAGCCAAUGUCUUCCCCAGUCUGGGUAAUGCUCAGCAAGGUGGCACAGCCUCCCUCUGGUCCUAGUGCCAUGUUGGCAGUACGUGCAGAAACCAGCAGCCACAGCUUCCUUCUCCUGGAUGACUGCAACGUGAGGCUCCAGCCUUGCUUGCUACAGCUGGUGCUGCCCCAUCGGAGAGAGCGCCUCCCAUUUGAUCCCAGCUUUUUGUUUUGUAGCACAGUAAAGGACACAUGCUCCAAGGCUUUCGGCAUAUUGAUAGACUGAUGUUCAGAAACUGGUAUGAGUACAGCAGAACCCAUAAGGACUCCCUUCUCCAGCCUCCCACAUCCCUGA